GCCUUCUUAGCUCAGGGGUUAGAGCGUUGCACUUGUAAAACUGUAGUUUCAUGCAAAGGUCGUUCGUUCGAAUCGGAUAGGAGGCA